AGCGAACUGCGAGUAGGCCAUCCUACAGCGCCGGGAGGUUAACCGAGCCCCCGGAGGAGGUGAGACCGCCAGCCUGCGCGGGCGGAGAUGGCUGGGCCGCCGUCGGGGCCGGCGCCAGAGCCCGGCAGCCUGUGGGUCCUGCAGCUUCUGUGAAAGGAGCCCUUCUGUCACUCGUCACUCGCUUGCUCGCUCGCCCGCUUGCUAGCUCGUUCGCUCGCUGUGGGAGGAGCCCGCCAGAGGAAGCCGUGUGCCUGGGAUGCCAAGAGCCAGAGAAUGGAUCUGCUCCGAGUGGGGACAUUGCUGAGGAUCCCGGCUUCCCGAGGCGGCUGAAAACAAGCAUUUGGUUUCGGCUGCCUGCCGAUACCAGGAGACACAACGAGACCUAAGCGGACCAGAGGAGGGACAGACCGACUGACAGAUAGAUGGUCGGCGCGAACCCUGGAGGACCGGCGGCGGAGGCUGAGCACCGCGAGCCCAGCCGCCGCGCUUGAAGAGAAACUAACUGCACGCCCAAGUUGCCCCGCCGGCUGCCCGCGCGCUGAGGAAUGAGACCUUUCCAGCUGGAUUUGCUCUUCCUCUGCUUCUUCCUCUUCAGUCAAGGUAAUGAAUGAGUAUUCUGGCGGUAUACUUCCAGAAGUCAGUAAAUGUCAAUAUUGGAUAAGUGUUUCCUUUAUAUCAUGGCAAUUUAGCAUAAGCUACUUGGAAACAAAUAUCUUCCGCAAGCAUACAGUGUUUCAACAUACCCCGAGCUUUGUUUCCAUGAUGAUUCUACAUCCUGUCUAGUUGGCAAUCAUGAUUAACCAUUCUACCUCCAGUAGCACCCGACUCCUAGAAAAUCCACCACCCUCACUAAGUACCAGCCAGCCUCUCAGAUACUUCCUUAUUCUGGUGAGAAUAUCCUCAACUCCACUUAAUAGUUGAGGAACUAGAAUGUCAUUGAGGUUAAUUUAUUUGCCCCUCAUUUAAAUAAUAGAGUAAAAAUUAAUGAGUGAGUCUUCUGUCUCCAGUGGCGUUCUCCCCAGCCCGCAGGGCUCUUCUGAGUCAGCCCAACAACAGACAGACUCUCACCUUCCCCAGACUCUGAGUCAGGCUUCAGUGCUCUCAGAGAAUGAAUUUCCUGUGAAUCAAUCCUGGAUGCAGUUAUUAUUUUAUAGGGAUGUUGUAAGUUGAUAAGGAAGCUGUUAUAUGCUAAUAGCUAUUGUAAUGUUGUUCUUAAGGCCUAUUACUUGUGCUGGUUUGUAUUUUAAUGUGUGCAAAGGUGAUUACAACUUUAAUAUGAAUGUUAAACAGAUUAGCUGAUUUAUAUGUAAAAUAAAUAAAUAAAUGGAAAC